AAUCUUUUUCCAUUUUUGAAUGUAUGUGUCGUGCAUAUUUUUGGUGGGAAGGACCACCCGUGAAUGCGUGUGUUUGGUGUGUGUGUGUGGUGUGUGUGUGCACGCGCGCGCGCGCGCGCGCACGUUACAUGAGAAGGUCCCAAGCUAACGCUGGGAGUUAUCCUUGACCACUCUCCUACCUUGUUCAUGGAGUCAGAAUCUCUCACUCAACCUGAGCUCACUGAUACGGCUCGUCUCUCCAGCCGGUUUGCUCUGAGGAUUCCCUGCCCACCCUCCAUUUGUACAGUAAAUAUGUUCACUACGGAGCCAUGGCCCUGCCCCCCGUUUCUGAUUUUAAGGGAAAUGCUUUCAGUUUUUCUCUGUUUAGUAUAAUGUUAGCUCUAGGCUUACUGACUGUAUUAUAGUCUUUAUUAUGUUGGAGUAUGCGCCUUCUGUUCCUAGGAGGAUCGUGAAGGAAUUUCUGCAUCUACUGACAAGGUUGUGUGGUUUCCAUCAUAUUGCCUUUACAAGCUUCAAGUCACUCCAUGCACCUUCCAGGAGACUCCGAAGGAGAGAUAACCGGCCUUCUGGGCAAAUGUGCAGCUCUAGCCAAGCACUGCAGACAUGGCUACCUGCUAAUAUAUGAACCUUUCUCUAAAGCACUGACAUUGGCUGGUGGGAACUGCCUUGCUGAAAGAUUCCUGAAACCUACUCUCAAAGGAUGACUGGAGCCAACUGAUGGGAAAUGGUUGUCACCCCCCUUUCCUAAGAGUGGGACCAGUGAGCAAUCCAAGCUUCAGAGGUUGUAGUGGGUUCAGGCAAUGCCCAGGGUGCUUCUGAAGCCACACGUUUCCCAGGACUACCUCUGCUUGAUCUUGCCACUGUCCCUUACUCUCCUACGAACGUAGAUGCCUCCCUGAUACUAAGACAUCCCAAUAUACAUGAUAGCUCCCAGCAUGGACUCUCAUUUACCUUCUUUUUCUUCAUUCCACUUUUCAAAAGCACACGUUUCAGUUCUGUUUAUGGAUUUGUGCAUUUUCUGUGUGUUCCCUUCAGCCACAAACUGGUGGGCCUGAGCUCUGUGAAGGCAGAGGCAUCCCUGUUUCAUCCACUCAUGUUCCUAGAACAAGUGCUAGCCCUGGCUCCUCCAGGAGCUCACAGACUGCUGUGUGGAUGAGCAAAUGUGUCAACUUGAUGUCAUUCGUCAGGAUGAAUUUGUCUGAUAGUGAUCUUUCCUGUCUGAUUUAUUUCAGCUAGCAUAUAGCAUAUUAAGUUUUACUAGUGUUGUUACAAAAGGGCU